CUGGAGAUGAUGCAGUUUCCUGGGGACCAGCAUGGCUCACUCUGGACAGGACCCGGCCUCAGGACAGGAAGGGAAACCACAUGUAAACACACCACCUUGGGAGGCGCUGUGUGCAGCAGCAUAUGACCUUUGCAAGCCGCUUUCCUCUCCCCAGUGUCGCUAAGAUACGGAGAAGAAUUACUAACUCCAGGGCUCCGUGGAGACAGCAGUCACCCCAGUCCACUGUUUUUGCUUUCUGAGAAUCUCAUGCCCCGCUCCUCGCUCAGCUCCUAGCAACACCCUCGCCCUUCAUGCCUGCUGCUUCCUCCAUCUCAGCCACAGCUACUGGAAGCGUCCAUCGCGGAGAACCACUUCUUCCGCAUCUCUCCCGAGGUCCACUCGUCUCAGUUUCACUCUGUGACUAAUGGCGUCCGCUGACACUUACAUUCCAGUCUUUACAAUUUUAACAGUCGACGCUGGCAGCUUCGAAACAGUCUUCAGCUUCAGGAAGACAAGGAGAGCUUCUUGGAAGACUGGAAAGAGGAGAAGGUUACUUCCAAGUCUUGUUCAUGCCCUUCCACCAAGCCAGCACAGGCACUGAAGAGGCACAGGAUGGGCAGGAGGACGCGCAGGACGUGUGCGGGUGGAUGUCAGAGCAGACGCAGGUGUGCACCUAUGCCACAGCCCUGCUCUGAGAGGGCCAGGGUGCCAGUCCUGCUCAUCUCAGCAGCUUCCUGCCUUCCUGUAGCAGAGGAAGCGUGCAGGGACUCUGUGAGGCCGUAAGUGCCAAGGAGCCCACACCCGCACAGGGAAGUAGUGGACCACAAUCUGCCCCCUGCCCUCCGCGGGCGGACUCUGGGACAUGCUCUGCAUAGCUCCGCGUGUGUUCUUGGGGGGACUGGGCCUCAGUGGUCCACAGUGGUCAGCAGUGUGCCUGCGCCCUGAUGGUGUUUUUCCACUUGCUCCUGUUUCUUGGGAUCAUCUUCCAAACAACUGGCGCCGAAAUCCUUAAGAACUGCUUUACCCUAAAUGAACCUAAAAUGUGUUAAAGAUCAUAAUGUUCUCUCAAACGCCACACCCCCAGCUGCUAUCCCACCUUUGCUCUCAAGGGCUCUGUGUUAAGAGGGAGAGCAGGGUUCCUGAUUUGGCCUUGACUUCUCCCAGCUUAGUCUUCCCUGAACGUAUGACUGUGCACACACACGGAAUGUGAAUAGAAUGAGACGUGCGAGGAGCCUUUUCGUCUUCAUCUCACAAUAAACCAACGGGGUCAAAUUUAGGAAACAAGAUAUAGCCACCUUCUUCUAACCACCUCCUUUAACAAUUACUUCACACUGGGAGUAUGUGGAAAUGGCAAAUAAUGAGAAUACUCUUGGAUAUCGAUUCAAAUUAAUUAAAGGCGAAACUUAUUCUCAUGAGCUUAGUGUGCAGAGAACUGCACUCCUGGGGAGUGUGGAGAAAUUUCUGCUCAGCUUUUUUAGACAUCCUUCUCCGGAGAGCUGAGAUCUAUAAAUCAUGCUCUUGCGGUCCAGUAUUGGGAAGAGCACGUAACCGAUACCCCUGACUGCAAAGCUAUCAUGAAUUGGCUUAGUCAUAAACAAUUUAAGGAAAAAGUAGCAUUCAGUACAUCAGGUGAAAAGAUGGGAGUUCAAUACAUUAUUGCAUUAUUCACAGUUAUUACAAGGUUCAAGGUAAAAUAUCAACACUGUAAUUUCUUCCCAAUAGCAUCCUAAGAGCACAGUUAGUACUGAAAAUUGAGUCUGGGUUUGUUGCCCUGUUUCUAGACUCUCUUUUCUGUUUUGUAUUUCCAUUUUCAUACACAUUCUGCCCU
rnacentral:lncRNA from 1 species